rnacentral:tRNA from 1 species
AUUUUCUUAGUAUAGUUAGUACAGGUGGCUUCCAACCACCCAGCCUUGGUUCAACCCCAGGAGAAAAUA